AGUCCCGGCUAGGGACACAGCUCUUAGACUUUGAGCUAGACAACCAGGAGGACAGGAGGACCUAGUAUCCUGCCUCCAUCAGCCCAUCAUUUAUGCAAAUGCUACUUAGUUGCCGUCUAGAUGCAGGAUGCUGUCUGCCCUGUUAAAUGCUGUGUGAACCCAGAUGGAAGCUGAGCAGACAUCACACUCGUGAGCAGCUCCCCUUCCUGUGAGCAUCUCCCCUUCCUGUGAGCAUCUCCCCUUCCUAUGUUAUACGACCUCGUUCGCUGAAGUCAAAGAUGCAGAGGGGCCAAGGUGUGGGCUCCGGACCUCACACCAGUGUGGCAGAUUCAACAAGCCCAGAAUAAGCCUCUUCCUUUGCUCACAAUAAGAUUAAGCCAACUGCCUCUUCAUUCCUCAGUCACACUCCUCCUCUGACCCUGCUCCAGGAGGCUCAUCUUGUCAGACUUCACACUGAAUGAGCGCUGAGGAUGCUGUAGAGUAUGAGCUGUGUGCAGGUUUCAAAAGCAAUUUGUGCCCCUGAAACAAGCCAACCAGCAGAGAAGGAACAAAAGAAACAUGGUGUCUUCUACCUCCAGCCUUGAAGCUUCCAGACCUCCCUACACGAACCCCCCCCCCACACCCACUCCCCGAAAUGAUGUCCCAGUGAAGAGCCAGGCUCUUAUCCUUCCAUCCAUGCCUCUCAGGCGUCUGCUUCAUUUAGCAUGUAUGUGCAUUUUACCAGGUUAAUGCAACACAGACUAUUUCCUAGUAGCUGUGAAGCCCAGUGUAGCCUCUGCUGCCGGACACAUGGUUUGUCUCCAGUCUUUCCCUUCCCAGCAAAGCAGCCUUGACUCAUCUCCUUUCUCUAUGACAGAGCCCUUUAGAAUGUACUCACUGGGCCAACGAUGCAGUUUCAAUUUGGGUUUUUAAUGGAAGUGGGUGGCUAGGUAAGUGGGUUGAAUGACUGACUGAUUCUGAAUAGCUCUGAAUUUAUUGAGCUGCUUCCAGGAAGGUCCAGGUGACCUGGGUAGCAGAAAGGACACCCAUUCCUGUUUGAUGGUGUUUUUUUUCUAUCUAUCAUCCUUCCUGUCUUUCCUUCUUUAUUUCUUUCUGGGUGAGACAGGGUCUUAUAAUACAGUUUCAGCCAGCCUGGAACUCAUUAUGUAAACCAGGCUGGUCUCCAGCUCAUGGAGAUGAGCCUGCCUUUGCUUCCCAUGUACUGAAAUUAAAGCCCAGCUUGUUUUUUUCUCUUUACCACACUGGGGAUUCAACCCAAGGCUAGUAAGCACCCUGGCACUGAGUAUAUUCUGGACCUCUUCUUAUUUUAAUGUUGAUGUAGGGUCCUGCUAAGUUUCCCAGACUGACCUUCAACUCACUAUGCAAGUCCAGGCAGGCCUUGAACUCACGAUCCUCCUGGUUCAGCUUCCUGAGCUGAUGAGUGGCAGGCACCAUUAGUCUCAUUCGGAAGGAUGUGCUUCAUCCUUGGUGAAAGCGCUCAUCUCUUGUCUUGGCUGGCUAGAAUUUCCAGGGUGAAGAAAGGAGGAUUAGAAAAGUUCAAGGUCACCCUCCCCUACAUAGAGAGUUCAAGGCCAGGCUGGGCCACAUGAGAAAAACCAAAAGAACAGAUGGUGUUAGCAGGAGGUAGGGAAGGAGUAGGGAGGUCCAGCCCUGGGUGGGGCAGAGCCCCUGCUAAAGACAAGGGACAUUCCUUAGUGUCAACUUUCCCUUAGGAUGGAGAGGAGGGGUUGCUAGCUCGUCACACCCCACAGCCCUGGAGGACAGGAGCUUACUGUUGAGUUAGUGGGGCAGAGUCGGGGAGAGGCUGUCAUUUCGGCAGCCCUGGUACAUGGAGCCACUAGCAGGCUUCUUCGUCUCAUGUCUUCAUCCGCACCACCUCCUAGCAGCCUGCCCUCCCCAACUUGUCCACUUAAAGCCUGGGCCAGUGAGAUGACUCUGCAGAUAAAGGUAUUGUCACCCAGCCUGAGGACCUGAGUUCAAUUUCUGGGUUCCAUAUGAUGGAAGGAGAGAACUGAGUCCCUUAACUUGAUCUCUAACCUGCACAUGUGGAUUGUGAAUGGGCUUAUGUGCCCACACACCCUCUCUCUCACACAAUAAACAUAAGUAAUAAAUGUAUACAUGCAUAUACACAUACAUAAUACACACAUACAUACAUGCUUGAAUGCAUACAUACGUUCGUAUGUAUGUCCUUGCCACUCUCUUGGAACCUGACUCCUACAGAAUGUAACCUUGAUUUGUGCUCCAGGCUCACUUGACACCUGGCUUCUGUGGCUUGUUCGAGUCCUCUGUCUCCCAGACAAUGAGCUAGGAUUCUGGUCAUUCAGGUUCAGCCUGGGUGCAGAGAGUUUUGAGUGGGCCUGUCCACUGGAGACCACUCCUCUCGUCACCCAUGAAGCAUCUAAAGUUAAGUAUGAUGGUGCAGACCUGGAAUCCCAGAAUUCAGGAGGUGGGGGCAGGGAUUUCUAAACUCAGAAGUCAGCCUGAGCUAUCUAGAGAGAUGCUGUUUCAAAAAUUUAAAACAGCCGGGUGUGGUGGCACACGCCUUUAAUCCCAGCACUCGGGAGGCAGAGGUAGGCGGAUUUCUGAGUUCGAGGCCAGCCUGGUCUACAAAGUGAGUUCCAGGACAGCCAGGGAUAUACAGAGAAACCCUGUCUCGAAAAACCAAAAAUAAAAAAUAAAUAAAACAAAACCGAA
rnacentral:lncRNA from 1 species